GGUGACAUUUGGGCGUGUAUGUAUGUAGUAAGUAGAACAAGAUUGAUUCAAUGAAAUGGCAUUUGGGCAUUCUUAAUCCGUUUAGUUGCAAUCCACUCACAGAGAACAAUCAUGUCAUUUUCAACUUUGAGAUCUGUUCUUUUCUCUGUUUUCAUACCCAAUUUUUCACAUUUUCAACAAUCUCCAAACCCUAAUUUCAUUGGUUUAUUCCCCUCUUCAAUAAGCCUCUAUUCACAAUUACAUCACCACCAAGAUGAAGAAAACAAUCUCAUUUCAUCAUUCAACAGCUUACUCCAUCACAAGAAUCCUACCCCACCCAUCAUCCAAUUUAACAAGAUUUUAUCUUCCCUUGUAAAAGCUAAGCAUCACUCCACUGCUCUUUCACUUCAUCAACAAAUGGAAUUAAAUGGAAUUGUGUCAGAUUUCUUCACUUUCAACAUCCUCAUCAAUUGCUUUUCUCAAUUGGGUCUAAACUCUCUUUCUUUUUCUGUUUUCGGCAAGAUUCUUAAAAAGGGUUUUGACCCAAAUGCCAUAACAUUCAAUACACUCAUCAAGGGUCUCUGUCUCAAAGGUCACAUCCAUCAAGCAUUGAACUUUCAUGAUAAGGUGGUAGCACAGGGAUUUCAUUUGGACCAAGUUAGCUAUGGGACCUUGAUUAACGGAUUAUGUAAAGUUGGACGAAUAACAGCUGCUCUCCAAUUGCUGAAACGAGUUGAUGGGAAAUUAGUUCAGCCUAAUGCGGUAAUGUACAACAUGAUUAUUGAUAAUAUGUGCAAAGCUAAGCUUGUUAAUGAUGCUUUUGAUUUAUAUUCUCAAAUGGUUGCUAAGAGAAUUUCUCCUGAUGAUUUCACUUGUAAUAGUUUAAUUUAUGGCUUCUGCAUUAUGGGUCAAUUGAAAGAGGCAGUUGGUUUGUUACACAAAAUGAUAUUAGAAAACAUCAACCCUCGUAUGUAUACAUUUAGCAUAUUGGUUGAUGCUUUUUGUAAGGAAGGAAAGGUGAAAGAAGCUAAAAUGAUGUUAGGUGUGACGAUGAAAAAAGACAUUAUACUUGAUGUUGUUACUUAUAACUCUUUAAUGGAUGGAUAUUGCUUAGUUAAAGAAAUUAACAAGGCCAAAGAUAUAUUCGAUAGUAUGGCCUCAAGGGGAGUCAUUGCUAAUGUUCAGAGCUAUACCACCAUGAUUAAUGGAUUAUGUAAGAUUAAAAUGGUGGAUGAAGCUGUAAAUCUCUUUGAAGAAAUGCGUUGUAGAAAAAUUAUUCCUAAUGUGGUAACUUACAAUUCCCUUAUUGAUGGUUUGGGUAAAUUGGGGAAAAUCUCUUGUGUGUUGAAGCUAGUCGAUGAGAUGCAUGAUAGAGGUCAACCACCUAAUAUAAUAACUUACAAUUCUAUAUUGGAUGCUUUAUGCAAAAACCAUCAUGUUGACAAGGCAAUUGCAUUAUUAACAAAUUUGAAAGACCAGGGUAUUCGACCAGAUAUGUACACAUACACUGUUCUUAUCAAGGGAUUGUGCCAAAGUGGAAAACUGGAGGAUGCACAAAAAGUUUUUGAAGAUCUUUUGGUCAAAGGCUAUAAUCUAGAUGUCUAUACAUAUACCGUUAUGAUCCAAGGGUUUUGUGUCAAGGGCUUGUUUGAUGCAGCGUUGGCCUUGCUGUCAAAAAUGGAAGACAAUGGAUGCAUUCCAAAUGCUAAAACUUAUGAAAUAGUUAUCCUUUCUCUGUUCGAAAAAGAUGAAAAUGAUAUGGCAGAGAAACUUCUUCGUGAAAUGAUUGCAAGAGGUCUACUGUAAGACUGAAACUAGGGACUAAAUUGGAAUUCGCUAAUAUUACAGGGACGAAAAGAGGUAUUUACCCUUUAUUGUAUUUCCUGCCUUAUCCUUAUAGAAGAAGUAACUUGUUAUGGCUUGGCUUAUAUCAUUUCAGAGGCUUGUUUUUACAAGUAGUUACAUUUAUCUUGCAUCAAAGGAAACAGGUGUGAUGGGCAUGGGUGCAGCUGGGACUGUUUAUUAGGCUGAGUUUGUUGUAGAUAAAAGUAAGCACCAAAAGCACUUAUUUGUCUUCUACAAAUGGUGGCUCAAUUUUCAGAAAAGAUACAUGUGAGCUAGCAAGGGAAGAGAAAGAUAUUGGCACUGAAAAGUAGAGGGAUCUAGCAGAAAAAGGCAUUCAGUGUCAAAAGAUUGAUCACAAGGUCAUAAAGGAGAGAUUGAGCAACAUGUUUUGCAGCGUUGAUGACUAAAUCUGAGCUAUGGCCAUGUUUGAGCAGCAACACUUGAACUCAACAAAUAAAGGGAGAGAAAGAGAAAGGGUUUCAAAAGUUUAGACUGAAGUUUAUUUCUUAGAUGAAAUCAAGAGUGUGUGAAAUGAUUAACAUGCUCAAUAAGUUGCUAAAGUUAAAAACCUUAUUUUGGUAAACAAUGGCAGCAUAUCAUAUUCAUGAAUAAGAGUUCAAGUAAAUUAAUUCCUA